rnacentral:lncRNA from 1 species
GGUUGUGCAGCGAAGCGACCCAGCUGCUCGGCGCAGCGGAAGCCCCUUCAAAGUCCUGCCCGCGCGGACGCCCCUUGUUGGAGAAAUUCAUCCAAGUAGCCCCUGAUUUGGCAGCGAUACCUCCCAUCGGACACCAGCUCUCCGAGGGGUGGUAAUGGGGGGACACUUCCAGCCUCCCCCAGGCCGGCGUCUUGGGAGGCUUGGUUAUUAUCUGCGGAGCUGGGGUUUGAUUCCAGGUGCAGUCUGAGUUCAACAGCAGAGUUUUUACCUACUCUUCUAAAGACGAGUUAUGGGAAAGAGCAGCGCUUAACAACGCACCUUCUUAUUGCCUGUACCUGGGACAGCCAUUCCCACUGCGCCCCUCCCUUCAGCUCCCCACAGGAUGGCACUGAUUGGCAGAGAGUGUCUCCUCCAGGAUCCUCUUCAUGUCUCCUUCAAUCUAUGGCAAUUUCUCGGUCUUUCCUCGUUCUUUCUUGACCUUGACCAUUUUGAGGAAUACUGGUCCAACAUUUCGUAGAAUGCCCCUGCGUUGGGAUUUGUCUAAUGUUUUUCUCAUGAUGAGCGCGGGGCUGUGUUACCGGGAAGCAGACCACAGAGAUGGGAACGACGUGCUUGAUGAAUUGAAGAUCACCACCCCACACUCCAGUUUCAUUUGAGUUGGAUUGAUUGGAAUUUCCCCAAAAGUUCUCAAGCGAGAUCCCCAGGAUCAGCCGAGCUCCUCCUCAGAGUCCUCUGAAGUCCUCCCAGGGGCAGGCAUCAGAGGGGGACCGGGUGGGGUCUUAGAUGCGGCUUCUCAAACUGUGGCCCCUGGACCAGCAGCGUCGGCAUGAGUGGGUCAGACAUGCAGAAGCCCAGGUCCCCUGGGCCACCUGGUUCAGAGUCUGCAUUGUAACAAGAACCCCCAGGUGGCUGGUCUACACGUCUAUUGUUUGAGAAGCACCGUCUUGGAAUCCAGAGUCUCUCUUCACGACUGCCUUCUGAAAUGGAUGGAGCCGGAAAUGUUGGACGGGGUGAAAUGUCUUGCCCUGGAUCUCACACCUAGUGAGUAAACAGCAUGCUCGAUGGAAUCAAGAGGCCAGGAGACCGUCCUGGCUCUGACGCGGAACGUUGUGACCUGCCUGCCAUGAAGGUGAAGACAACGAGGUUCAGAGAAGUGAGCUAACUUGCCUAAGGGACACAGCCUGGAAACUGGCCAAGCGAGGACCUCAGAGCUAAGGUCCCCCCUCUGGGUGCACAUAUUUCCACCAAGUGGACGCCCUCUUCACCGUCACUGUCCUUGGUGAAUGACUUGCCUCUGAGCUCCUUCCUGCUCUACCCAGCACCACCGGGGAGCAGGAGGAGGCCGGGCCUUGUAAAACAGCAUCCGGCUGUCAGCACUGGCAUCUGUCAAAGGAAGUGACUGCUCUUGGGCCCCAACACCGUUCCCAAAGUGGACACUGCUUUUGAAAAGUGCUAACGUACAGGCUUGUCAGGCCAGCCUGGGGGGAGCUGGAGCAGUGAUCUGAUGCUGGGGGGAAGAUAAAGGGGGACAGCUGCCACAAACCUGGGCAUCUGUUUCCCUUGCCCACCUCCUGCCCACAGCCAGAAGCAGCCCCUUUCUCCAAAGCACUUGUGGGUGGGAGGUGGGGGGCAGGGAGAGCAGAGCCCACCUCUCUGAAGACCUUCCUAUUCUUAGGACUCAGAGCUGCUGAGCCAGUGAGUGACAGACACCUUCUCGCUCCAGUGGAAACCAGGGCGGAGGGAACAGAGACAGAGGGCACAUCUGCUCAGCGCUGACCUGAAGCUGAAGGGUCCCUUUCUGUUAUAGGGUGGGGGAAGAAUGGAGGUGCAGUCCACCAACUGGCAGAGAAUUGGGACAAGAAUUUAGGGAGAACACCCCCCUUUGGAAAGGGGGCAUGUGAGCAUCUGGCUGUCUAGUUAAGUGUGAGGACAUUUCCAGAUUUCUCUGCCUCAUAGUCCUGCUUUAUGUCACUAUUGUCUGUCUGCGCUUAUUAAACAGGAAUAGGUAACUCCAGAUAAAGAAUGUACACAAUUUGUCUCUAACAAAAGGGCAAGGACUUCGUUGCCUAGGGACUGGAGAUACAGUGGUGAACAGGACACCAUGCCUGCUUGAACGGAUGGCUUCAAUUAUCUAUUAAAAUACUUAAGCAAUUACCAAAUGCCAAGUACCAUGCUAGACCCAGGGAUACAGUAGAAACAAGACAAAUAAAAUUUUAGGAUUUGACCUUAGAUCUUUACAUGGAGAAUUAGAUGAUUGCUGGAUAACAAACAUCCCCAAACUUAGUGGCUUCAAACAACACUGAUUUAUCAUUUCUCAGCAUAUUCUGGGUCUGACAUUUGGGCAGGGCUCAGCUGGGUGGUUCUUCAGCCAAUGGGGUCAUUUGUUGCUUGCAUUUACCUGGUGGUUUGAUGGAACACCAAGAUGACCUCUCAUCCGUCCAAGUCUGUCUGCAUGGGGCCUCUCAUCACUGAGUGGUCCAGCUUAGACUUCCUUACAACAUGGCGGCUGGGCUUUGAGAAGGGAAAGCAGCAGUUCAAGUCCUCUUGAGGGCUCAGAAGUCCCAGAAACAUCACUUCCACCAUGAUCUGUUGGUUAAAGCAAGUCCCAGGACAAGUCCACACUCAAGAAGAGGAGGAAAGAACUCCACCUCUUCCUAUGAGGAGCGGCAGGAUCAAUCCAGUGGGCACUGCACACUCCCUGAGUUUGCAUCCCAGCUGAGAAACCCUGAGCUUACGGAUCCUGACUCUCUUAUAACGGGCUGCAAGCAAACCUGCCGGAACUUUGCCCCAGAAGGAACGUUACCUUGAUUACACUGGACGCCAAACAAAACCGCCCUCGGCUCUGGAGAGAGAUACUGACUCCGUCUUCCAAGGCAGUGUGCUUCACAAACAUCCAUGGAAAGCUUGUCCAGAACAAAAGGGCAGUUGGUGCCUCACUCACGAGACAGGCAGAAGAGUGAAAGACGUAUGGAGAAUCAGCUCCCGAUGCGUGCCAUGUACCAGACACUGUUCUGUGGACUCUAAGUGUCCAACUCAUUGAACCCUCGUAGCAGUCCUGUGAGGCAGACGCCAUCGUCCCUCUUGACAGUUGAGGAAACUGGCCUUGAGCACGUCCCUCACCCUCUCUGUCCUCCCCCCUCCCCGGCCAGCAAGUGGUGGAACCCGAGUUGGUGCCCAUGCCAUCUGGCUCUUGCAGCACCCUUCUCACCACUAUACCACAUGGUAGAUGAUACAAAAGCUGUGUUGAUAGUUCACCUGCUAAGGAUGUUAUCUCAAAACUGCGUGACAACCUGGGAUGUGGCCAUGAUCAUCUUGACCCUUUCAUAGAAGUUUGGAAAUGAAGCGACUUGUCCAGGGCCACACAAUAGCUGAGUUGGGAUUCUGACCCAGGCCCUCUCGCCAGAUGAUGCUGUGUUCUCCUUGGCCUCUAUCCACUGUGAUGGAACCAGCAGGUGACACACAGUGUCAUUCAUUUCCCCCUUUUGUAUUAAAUACAAAUACAAAAAUAAGGUGGUGAUGCCACAAAAAACCAUGAAACACCUGUGUAAUAUUGUCUCCCUAGCUCGACUGCAUAUUUCCUGAUGACAAAGCCGCAUCUUAUGUCUAUACCACAUACAGAAUACUGUUAUCCUGAGCCAGGAACCCCUGGAAGAUACAAAACUUCAU